rnacentral:rRNA from 1 species
AACGAACGCUGGCGGCAUGCCUAACACAUGCAAGUCGAACGAGACCUUCGGGUCUAGGGGCGCACGGGUGCGUAACGCGUGGGAACCUGCCCUUAGGUUCGGAAUAACUCUCCGAAAGGGGUGCUAACACCGGAUAAUGUCUUCGGACCAAAGAUUUAUCGCCUUUGGAUGGGCCCGCGUUGGAUUAGCUAGUUGGUAGGGUAAAAGCCUACCAAGGCGACGAUCCCUAGCUGGUCUGAGAGGAUGAUCAGCCACACUGAGACUGAGACACGGCCCAGACUCCUACGGGAGGCAGCAGUGGGGAAUAUUGGAAAAUGGGCGAAAGCCUGAUCCAGCAAUGCCGCGUGAGUGAUGAAGGUAUUAGGGUUGUAAAGCUCUUUUACCCGGGAUGAUAAUGACAGUACCGGGAGAAUAAGCUCCGGCUAACUACGUG